rnacentral:rRNA from 1 species
UACGGGGGGGGCAAGCGUUGUUCGGAAUUACUGGGCGUAAAGGGCGCGUAGGCGGCCUUCUAAGUCAGACGUGAAAUCCCUCGGCUCAACCGAGGAACUGCGUCUGAUACUGGAAGGCUUGAAUCCGGGAGAGGGAUGCGGAAUUCCAGGUGUAGCGGUGAAAUGCGUAGAUAUCUGGAGGAACACCGGUGGCGAAGGCGGCAUCCUGGACCGGCAUUGACGCUGAGGAGCGAAAGCCAGGGGAGCAAACGGG